UUAAGUUCAGCGGGUAGUCUCACCCGAUUUGAGGUCAAGGUUCGUGGGUCGAGCAAACUCGAACGAUGUCUCUGAUAGUGAGACGGUUGGAAGCGGGUUCCCAAGGAACAGAGCAAAUCCCAAGACGUAGAAACGACUUAUCACGCCUGGGGAUCGGCAAAGGGGACCCCACUAAUACAUUUAAGAGGAGCCGGCUUUAC
rnacentral:misc_RNA from 1 species